GACGCGGAUUACGGUGGCGGC
rnacentral:sRNA from 1 species